CCCUGAGGCGCUCGGCGGCGUGGCCGGGCCGCGCUCCGGCGCCGGGCUCGGACCCCCGGCCAGCCGGCAGCCCGGGGCAGCAGGGUGAGCACGGGGGUGCCGGCACCUGGCUCCCAGCCUGUCCCGGGGUGCAGCGUGAGGGGAGAAGGGCCGCGGGGACCUCGCACCUCGGGUGCAGGGGCGAUCGCUGCAAGACAUCAUCAGAAGAAAGGAGGAGGCAUGAAACGUGUCAGCAAUGGGAAGAGAAAGGACUGCUCUGUUUCACAGGGAGUUUCAGACAACAAAGUGCAGGGUGAAAAGAAAUCAGCUUGAUUUAUGCGAAGAUAAAUUUGAACAUAGAUACUACACAGAAAUUUUCCAAAAGUUCCUUUGAGGAAGAUAUGGAGCAUGGCAGACAUUGUACAAGAAUAGUUUUCAGGCUAAAUGUAUCACUAUGCAGUAUGAUCUGACUGAUGAGUGCACACACGGAUCAGCUGAGACUGUUAACACUGCUGAGCAAGACAGAUGGGAAAAUGACAUUGAGAAGGCAACGCUCGUGCUGCAUAACAAAUCCAGACUUCUCCUUCCAAAACAUGCUGAACUCUUCUAGGAGUAAGAAAAAUGAGCCUGUGUAGGUGGACUUCCACAGAAAAUACCACAAUAAGACUCAGUGCCUCAGCUUACUUUACCACUAAAAAGAGCCCAAUGUGCCUGGAAUAUCAAGAGUGAAUCGUGAACCUUACUUUAGCCACUUCUCAAUUGUCUUUUGUAUCAUCACAUGGAUAUAAAGGAAACCGUGAGUGUUUGCUAUCAGCAUCUGAUUAACCACUGAAUUCUAACCAUAGUUUUGGAACAAAGAACAAUUUUAUUUGAUGCCAGCCAUUGUGCGUAGCAGUGAAACAGCACAGUUUCCAUUAGAGGAGGGUGAAUUUUAAUUCCGAUAAGAUCUGGGGAUGAAAUGUUAACUUAAGCUAAAUGAAUAUUCAUAUAGGAAAGUGAAAAUAGGUGUCAAGGACUUGCUGCACUUAAGUCCUUGGUUACAUGAAAACUGUACACCAUUCGACAAAACAACACUGUUUCUAAUGAUUACUUUCCCCAUAUAAUUUAUUCAUCUAUUCCAGAGCAGUGUUUCGGGGCUUAAUGAGUAUUUGUAAAGCUCUGGCUGAAAUGCACACUCUAAAUGCAAAACAUUAUGCCAUUUACAAUGAAUGAAGUAGCGUAGAUUACUGGUUCAAAAAAGCCACUAAAGCUCAUCAACAUGUGCAUUUGAAGGGUGUAUUACUUCACCAGUUAGGAAAGCCCCCUGUUAAUGUCCUAUCCAGUUGAAAGGCUAAGUGUGCUUCCUUCCCUCUGAAUCCACUCUGAAGUGCAGAGAGAAAGGAAAAGUUGUGUAACUUUGUCUCUUCUCUUAUUUUCACCCCAUUUCACCCUUAUUUUCCCCAUAUGGGGCGAUCCUGUGUGACAUCUCAAAGAACAUCUCAGAGAACAAAUAAAUAAAACUAAGUAGUAAUAGCACUCCCUUUGGAAACAGCUUUUUUUCACUUCUGAAAAAUGAAAGCUCUCUUACUGACAUGGUCCUUAUCCAUGUGUCCUAUAUCCUUAUGACACCUUAUGGACAAGAUCUCUGUGUUCUGUGAUUUCAAGCACUUUUAUCAUUAUCACUAACAUCAAGGAGAGGGUGCUGGAAUGCCAGGAGUGUUGAGCUCUUUCAGCCCAUCUCUACCACACUGGCACCCUGUUGAAGUCACCUGUUGUUCCCUGCAUGGCCAUGUUUCUCCUUGGAAGAUUACUUUUCUGAAAUACAGAUUUCUAAAAUGACACACAACGGACUUCUAUAAGCAGAAGCAGCAAACAAGAUGAUCUCAUGUUGCCAUGUGCUCUCUGCUUGGUGAUGUGAUUCUCUUGCCCGUUGUUGCAAGACCACUGCAUCUGUUAAAGAUCCUGUAUGCUUCUUUAACUAGUUAAAUGUCUAUCCGGGGGAAAAAAAAAAGAUUUCCAAAAUGGUAAUUUGCUUAAACUCUGAUUUUUUUUCAUCCUUUGCACUGUGAUAGUUGCAUUAUCACUAAUGAUAAAACCUGAUGCAACAUUAGUGAUGGUGAAAAUUCCACUAAUUCUAGAGAAAAUCCAAGACGUUAUAAGACCAGGUUUUAGUAUGAAAAGAGGAAUGUCAGGCACACUAAAGACUGUGGAAUUAAGUAGUCCUGCUUCCCGUGUUAACUAACUGUUGCCCGCCUUAUUUCUACAUCUUGCUGCCUACAAUAAAUGAGAAGUCAGGAAAGGCAAAACCUUGGCUUUUAACAUCUUACACCUUUCUGCCCCUUAGUUGAUCUCUCCCACACCUGUAAAUGGUGGCUGUUUCUACAGUGGCUCUUCCUUUCCUCAUACGUGGCCUCCACUGCAUCUUUGGACAAGGGAGAGGGUGCAGUUUAUAUUACAUGCAUCAAUGCCAAUGUAGCAAAAAAAAUAAAGCUGUCAAUGGUUCAUGGCAGCCUCACGGGCAGAGAGGGAUACAAAUUAUUGUUACAUUCUUGUUAUUGAAA